rnacentral:rRNA from 1 species
AGGGUUCGAUCCUGGCUCAGGACGAACGCUGGCGGCGUGCCUAACACAUGCAAGUCGAACGAAGCUUUGAGGAGCUUGCUUUUUAAAGCUUAGUGGCGGACGGGUGAGUAACGCGUGAGCAACCUGCCUCUCAGAGGGGGAUAACGUUUUGAAAAGAACGCUAAUACCGCAUAACAUAUCGGAACCGCAUGAUUCUGAUAUCAAAGGAGCAAUCCGCUGAGAGAUGGGCUCGCGUCCGAUUAGUUAGUUGGUGAGGUAACGGCCUACCAAAGCGACGAUCAGUAGCCGACCUGAGAGGGUGACCGGCCACAUUGGGACUGAGACACGGCCCAA